GAUGAACGCUGGCGGCGUGCCUAAUACAUGCAAGUCGAGCGAACGGACGAGAAGAUUGCGUCUCUGCUGUUAGCGGCGGGCGGGUGAGUAAGACAUGGAUAACAAACUACUAUGUCGGGGGUAAUUUCGGAAAGCAGCUUAUAAUACUGCCUAAUAUUUCGAACGGGUGGGUUCAAAGGAGAAUGGGGGCUUGCGCGACUCUAUGAGCCGAUUCCGGGUUGCAUUAGCUAGUUGGUAAGGUAACGCCCAACCAAGGCAACGAUGCUUAGCCGACCUGAGAGGGUGAUCGGCCACACUGGAACUGAGACACGGUCCAGACUCCUACGGGAGGCAGCAGUAGGGAAUCUUCCGCAAUGGGCGAAAGCCUGACGGAGCAACGCCGCGUGAGUGAUGAAGGUCUUCGGAUCGUAAAGCUCUGUUAUUAGGGAAGAACAGAUGUGUAAGUAACUGUGCACAUCUUGACGGUACCUAAUCAGAAAGCCACGGCUAACUACGUG
rnacentral:rRNA from 1 species